rnacentral:rRNA from 1 species
GAUUAACGCUGGCGGCGUGCAUGAGACAUGCAAGUCGAACGGACGAUCAGGGCUUGCUCUGAUCGUUAGUGGCGGACGGCUGAGUAACGCGUAGGUGACCUGCCCCGAAGUGGGGGAUAACUGCCCGAAAGGGUGGCUAAUACCGCAUGUGGAGGUUCGUUCAUUCGAACCUUCAAAGCAGCAAUGCGCUUCGGGAGGGGCCUGCGUCCGAUUAGCUCGUUGGGGGGUAACGGCUCACCAAGGCGACGAUCGGUAGGUGGUCUGAGAGGACGAUCACCCAGACUGGGACUGAGACACGGCCCAGACUCCUACGGGAGCAGCAGUCGGAAUUUUGCGCAAUGGACGAAAGUCUGACGCAGCAACGCCGCGUGAGGGAUGAAGG